rnacentral:rRNA from 1 species
UACGUAGGUGGCAAGCGUUGUUCGGAAUUAUUGGGCGUAAAGGGCGCGUAGGCGGUCUUGUAAGUCAGCUGUGAAAGCCCGGGGCUCAACCCCGGAGGGUCGGCUGAUACUGCAGGACUGGAGUACGGAAGAGGUAGCUGGAAUUCCCGGUGUAGCGGUGAAAUGCGUAGAUAUCAGGAGGAACACCUGUGGCGAAAGCGGCUCACUGGACCACAACUGACGCUGAGGCGCGAAAGCUAGGGGAGCAAACAGG